rnacentral:rRNA from 1 species
UGGGGAAUAUUGCACAAUGGAGGGAACUCUGAUGCAGCGACGCCGCGUGAGUGAUGAAGGAAUUCGUUUCGUAAAACUCUGUUCUAUGGGAAGAAAAGGACUGUACCAUAGGAGAAAGCUCCGGCUAAAUACGUGCCAGCAGCCGCGGUAAUACGUAUGGAGCGAGCGUUGUCCGGAAUUAUUGGGCGUAAAGGGUGCGCAGGCGGCUUUACAAGUUGGAUGUGAAAUAUUGUGGCUCAACCACAAACGUGCAUCCAAAACUGCAAAGCUUGAGUUAAGGAGAGGUAAGUGGAAUUCCUGGUGUAGCGGUGGAAUGCGUAGAUAUCAGGAGGAAUACCGGUGGCGAAGGCGACUUACUGGACUUAAACUGACGCUCAGGCACGAAAGCGUGGGAAGCAAACAGG